rnacentral:rRNA from 1 species
AGAGUUUGAUCCUGGCUCAGGAUGAACGCUAGCGGCAGGCCUAAUACAUGCAAGUCGAACGGGCUGGAGUAGCAAUACUCCAGUUAGUGGCGCACGGGUGCGUAACGCGUAUGCAACCUACCUUUUAUUGGGGGAUAGCCCGAAGAAAUUCGGAUUAAUACCGCAUAAUAUCAUUUGAGGGCAUCUGAGGAUGAUUAAAGCUACGGCGAUAAAAGAUGGGCAUGCGUGUCAUUAGCUAGUUGGUUGAGGUAACGGCUCACCAAGGCGACGAUGACUAGGGGUUCUGAGAGGAUGAUCCCCCACACUGGUACUGAGAUACGGACCAGACUCCUACGGGAGGCAGCAGUAGGGAAUAUUGGGCAAUGGCGGAAACGCUGACCCAGCCAUGCCGCGUGCAGGAUGAAGGCCUUCUGGGUUGUAAACUGCUUUUACCAGGGAAGAAAAUACCUUUGCGAAGGGAACUGACGGUACCUGGUGAAUAAGCACCGGCUAACUCCGUGCCAGCAGCCGCGGUAAUACGGAGGGUGCAAGCGUUGUCCGGAUUUAUUGGGUUUAAAGGGUGCGUAGGCGGCUUGAUAAGUCCGUGGUGAAAGCCAACAGCUCAACUGUUGAACUGCCAUGGAUACUGUCAGGCUUGAGUACAGACGAGGUAGGCGGAAUGGAUCGUGUAGCGGUGAAAUGCAUAGAUACGAUCCAGAACUCCGAUUGCGAAGGCAGCUUACUAGGCUGUAACUGACGCUGAGGCACGAAAGCGUGGGGAGCGAACAGGAUUAGAUACCCUAGUAGUCC